AAUGAAAAGCAGUUACAGUAAUAAUAAUAACAAAUAUUGAGAUAAUUAUGAAGAAAUAAUCAUUGCUAAGUAUAAUUAUGAUGUAAGUAGAAUGUCGAAAUGAAAGCAUGACAUUUCAGAUUUGUUUUUCUAGCGAAUAAGAGGAUGGUGCCUUAAUCUUUUGGAAUAAAAAAAUUGAUUCACACGGUUUUUGACAUAAAAGUCUUAAUCACGUGAAGCACUGACUGUGAUAGACACUAUUUGAAGAUACCAAUCCGCUCUUGUUGACCUUUGCCUUUGUAACGUGAAGACAUUUUUUCAUUUACAUUUAAUGAAACCUUGUUGAAUACAUUAGUUCCGAGUGAUGUACAAGUAGUGUUUUACUACACGCAAUGUCAAGAAAAUCCAUAUCUGAACUAGAAGAAGAGGAGCGCAUUACAUGUCUUGCAUACAGCAAGGCAUUUCUAAGCCAACUCUUUAAACAAAUUAAAUUAAAAAAGUCUCCAGAACAAUCUUUAAAAUAUGAAAAAUCAUGGCUUUAGAAAGUGAUCGAGAUUCCUUUCCAUCGUAUUCCAGUGGCGAUUCCUCCGUGUGUUCCUGGAAAUGGGGAUCAGAUGGAAGUGGAGGGCACCCGCGAUAUAAAUCAAAAAUUUUUAGUAAAUCCAGGAGCGAGUGCUACCUAUUAGUGCUAACGUGCAAAGUUCCCUUAGAAUUAAAAAAAAAUAACUAGUAACGAUCAUAUAUGGACUAACUCAAGAACAUCUUCUCCGAGUAUGAAAAAGAAAAUAUUGAAACGAUAAAAACAGAGUUCAACCGAAUGGAAGAUGAAAUUAACAACCUUGAAACUUUUAAAACUUCAAGCAUAAUUUUUAAUGAUAAAACUGUUUUUGUAAAUCAUUCUUUUUUAAAAACAAUGGUAGGUGCAAUGCUCAGUUUGCUAUAUAUGCAAAGCUUCGCCUAAAGGUAUGAAUAAUCGUGAUCUUAUUCGUUUGGAUUGAAAACCCUUCAGGUGCAAAUACGAUUUAUGGAAGCUCUUUUACAAAAACUUACAAGCCAGAGGGUUUGAAGAAAAAUUGGCGGUUAAACAAAAGGAAGAACUUUUGCAUUCGCAUUGAGAACUGAGCUUGGAGUUUUCGUUUGUUUUCUAAACAAGGUAGAGGAAACGGCAAUGACAGCAACACAGCCCGAAAAAUUUUGAAAAAUCUAGCAAAAACCGCUUGAAUAAUAGGAUAGGAUACAGAGUUGGUUGAUUGUUUCGAAAUUAAAAUAUUCCUGGUAUUAUAAGUCCACAAGUGGUCACAAGAUGUUGUUGUAUGAAGCUGACAUAAUAGACAGUUUGCUAGUUCCCUAGAAAUAAUAAAUAUGUUCAUCAUUGCGAUCUCAACGGUGAAAAAGACUUUAUUCUGAUGAAUGUCCUGAAAUUAUAUUAGACCCGAAACAAAGAUUUAAAGUAGAUUUUUUUUCAAAAUACAGUAAGGUUAGCUUGAUACAUAUAACAUAAAUUUUUCAUUUUUAAGUAACAUAAGCGCACGUUUAAAAAAUAAAAAUGUACGUGCUUCGUGCCUUAAUUCACAAAAUGUUAUAACAUUAGGUCGUUUUAAAGAUUAAGAUGGAGAAGAAUUGUUUCAAGAGUUAA